rnacentral:lncRNA from 1 species
GUUGUGUGUGUAGUUUAUUUAUCUUAAAAUGAGACUUUAAUAUGUAAUGUGAAGAGCUAAGUCAUCUGGUUUACAGGCUACUUUAGUCUGAAAACAGUUGGAAAUGGAAGUAUACCUUUAAAGGAAAGCCACCAGAUGCGAGAGUGCACAAGGCACCCUACUAUAAUCACGUGACUGACACCGUCUGUAAUAAAAGCACCAAAAGGGUUAGAUGUGGGUCUGUAUUUAUUUUUAAAGAAUCUUUUUAUAGUGAAAAUGAGCCACAAUGGCUGCUUUGUUAUGUAUAUUUACUAUGAUAUUGGUUCUGUUUUAUUGAUCAGUUCUCAAUCCUGAGGCUUAUACCUGGGGUAAUCACGCUUUAUUCAUUUGUGAAUGAGAGUCCACAACUGAGGUGAAAACAGAAUGAGGUCCUGGUGGACAAGGCUGUAAUUCUUUCUAAGUUAAUGACGGUAAUGUAAGCCUGAUACCUAAGCAGUGUGCAUUCAGAACACGCAUACCUGAUAGCAGGUCAGGAAAAGAGAACAGGGAUUCCAGUUUAAGGGGGGAAAACUGAGAAGUCAUAACUACCCCAAAGAUGA